rnacentral:rRNA from 1 species
ACGUAGGUGACGAGCGUUGUUCGGAAUUAUUGGGCGUAAAGGGUUCGUAGGAGGUUUAUUAAGAUUGGUGUGAAAUCCCAAGGCUCAACCUUGGAACUGCAUUGAUUACUGAUGAACUAGAGUGUCGUAGAGGAAAGCGGAAUUCCAGGUGGGGAGGUUGCGGGGGGAGAUAUCUGUAAGAGGAAAGAAAGCGGGGGGAGCAUUCAGGUUGAGAACCGCGUGUAGUGAAGGAAAGCUUAUCUUAAAAUAAG